rnacentral:rRNA from 1 species
GACCCGAAUCCCUUGAGGAGCUUGCUCCUUUUUGGUGAGCGGCGGCCGGGUGAGUAACACGUAGGGUAACCUAGCCUGGUAAGACCUGGGAUAACUCCGGUGAAAUCGGGGCUAAUAGCCGGAUAAGUUGUUCCUCCGCAUGGAGGAACAUUGAAAGAUGGCUUCGGCUAUCACUUACAGAUGGACCCGCGGCGCAUGAGCUAGUUGGUGAGGUAACGGCUCACCAAGGCGACGAUGCGUAUCCGACCUGAGAGGGUGAUCGGCCACUCUGGGCACUGAGACACGGCCCAUACUCCUACGGGAGGCAGCAGUAUGGAAUCUUCCGCAAUGGACGAAAGUCUGAUGGAGCAUCGCCGCGUGAGUGAUGAUGGUUUUCGGAUCGUAAAACUCUGUUGUUAGGGAAGAACGAGUACCGUUCAAAUAGGGCGGUACCUUGACGGUACCUAACCAGAAAGCCACGGCUAACUACGUGCCAGCAGCCGCGGUACU